CUGUGUGAGGGCUUGAGGUACCCCGAGUGUAAACUGCAGACCUUGGUGUAAGUCCGUGCUGGCUGCCUGUGUGCGUGGGUGUAUAUGCACACGCCCCCCACCUCCGGGUUUGAGUAGGGUGGUUAUGAGAACACUUAAUUCCUCUAAAAGUUCCAAGCAUGAUGCUAAUGACAACUGGUAAGACCUGGGUAGAUGAUGGUAGGAAAAAAGUAUAAGUAGUAGUAGAGUAGUAGUAAUAUUCUAUAGGGAUUUGGGGAAUGUAGCUGGUUUUCGGGUUUUUUUUUUCCUCUUUAUGUAUGUAUGUAUUUUAGAGAUGGGAUCUCGCCGUGUUGCCUAGGCUGGUCUCAAACUCCUGAGCUCAAGAGAUCUGCCUGCCUUGGCCUCCCAAAGUGCUAGAAUUACAGGCAUGAGCCAUGUCACCCCAUGCUGUGUUUUCUCUUAAUCUGUGUUCUUAGAACUAUAACUGUAACAUAAAUUGCAUGCAAUUGGUUGUAAAUGGAAUUCAUUUACUUAUUUUUUAAUGAAUGAUUUGCAAAUCAGCUGAGAUGGCACCACUGAAGUCCAGUCUGGCCAAUAGAGCAAGACUCUCU
rnacentral:misc_RNA from 1 species